rnacentral:rRNA from 1 species
UGCCAGCCACCGCGGUAAUACGAAGGGACCUAGCGUAGUUCGGAGUUACUGGGCUUGAAGAGCUCGUAGGUGGUUAAAAAGUUGAUUGUGAAAUCCCAAGGCUCAACCUUGGAACUGCAAUCAAAACUUUUUAGCUAGAGUGUGAUAGAGGUAAGUGGAAUUUCUAGUGUAGAGGUGAAAUUCGUAGAUAUUAGAAAGAACACCAAAUGCGAAGGCAACUUACUGGGUCACUACUGACACUGAGGAGCGAAAGCUAGGGGAGCAAACAGGAUUAGAUA